rnacentral:rRNA from 1 species
UACGGGGGGGGCAAGCGUUGUUCGGAAUUACUGGGCGUAAAGGGCGCGUAGGCGGUCUGCUAAGUUGGGUGUGAAAACUCUGGGCUUAACCCAGAGCCUGCAUUCAAAACUGACAGGCUAGAGUUCUGGAGGGGAUAGCGGAAUUCCUGGUGUAGCGGUGAAAUGCGUAGAUAUCAGGAGGAACACCGGUGGCGAAGGCGGCUAUCUGGACAGUUCCUGACGCUGAGGCACGAAGGCCAGGGGAGCAAACGGG